AAAAACAUGUCUAUAUGAUUGUUAUAUAAAGUCUAGCCUGCCCACUGAUUUGUUUUAAAGGGCCGCGGUAUAUUGACCGUGCGAAGGUAGCAUAAUCAUUAGUCUUUUAAUUGGAGGCUUGUAUGAAUGGUUGGACAAAAAGUAAGCUGUCUCGGUUAUAAUAAUUGAACUUAACUUUUAAGUGAAAAGGCUUAAAUGUUUCAGGGGGACGAUAAGACCCUAUAAAGCUUGACAAUAAUUUCGUUAUAUUAUAAAUUGUUAGUAUAACUUGAUUUUAACGGGAGUUUGUUUCGUUGGGGCGACGGGAAUAUAAUAAAUAACUGUUCUUUUAAAUAUAAUUACAAAAAUACUUGGUAAACAAUUGAUCCUCUAUUAGAGAUUAAAAGAUUAAGUUACUUUAGGGAUAACAGCGUAAUCUUCUUUGAGAGUCCACAUCGACAAGAAGGUUUGCGACCUCGAUGUUGAAUUAAGGUAUCCUUAUAAUGCAGCAGUUAUAAAGGAGGGUCUGUUCGACCUUUAAAUCCUUACAUGAUCUGA
rnacentral:rRNA from 1 species